rnacentral:rRNA from 1 species
AUACGGAGGGUGCAAGCGUUGUCCGGAUUUAUUGGGUUUAAAGGGUGCGCAGGCGGUGCGUUAAGUCAGUGGUGAAAUCUUCCGGCUCAACCGGGAAACUGCCAUUGAUACUGGCGCACUUGAGUACGGACGAGGUAGGCGGAAUUUAUGGUGUAGCGGUGAAAUGCAUAGAUACCAUAAAGAACACCGAUAGCGAAGGCAGCUUACCAGACCGUAACUGACGCUCAGGCACGAAAGCGUGGGGAGCAAACAGGAUUAGAUACCCUAGUAGUCC